UUUUAAGAAAUGUUUAAAAAUAAAACAUGCUUGGAAUUAAAAAAUGUAAAUACCACAACAAAGCUGUGGUGAUUGAUUUAUUAAACUUAGUAUUAGGUGUAAUAAAUGAUGUACAAUUCAGAUUGAACAAUUGUUUGCAAACUGUUUCAGUCAAUGC